rnacentral:rRNA from 1 species
AUUGAACGCUGGCGGCAUGCCUUACACAUGCAAGCCGAACGGUAACAGGUCUUUCGGGAUGCUGACGAGUGGCGAACGGGUGAGUAAUACAUCGGAACGUGCCUAGUAGUGGGGGAUAACUACUCGAAAGAGUGGCUAAUACCGCAUGAGAUCUAUGGAUGAAAGCAGGGGACCUUCGGGCCUUGUGCUACUAGAGCGGCCGAUGGCAGAUUAGGUAGUUGGUGGGAUAAAAGCUUACCAAGCCUGCGAUCGGUAGCUGGUCUGAGAGGACGAUCAGCCACACUGGGACUGAGACACGGCCCAGACUCCUACGGGAGGCAGCAGUUGGGAAUUUUGGGCCAUGGGGGAAACCCUGAUCCAGCAAUGCCGCGUGCAGGAUGAAUGCCUUCGGGUUGUAAACUGCUUUUGUACGGAACGAAAAGUCUUGGGUUAAUACCCUGGGAUCAUGACGGUACCGUAAGAAUAAGCACCGGCUAACUACGUGCCAGCCGCCGCGGUAAGAC